rnacentral:lncRNA from 8 species
UUUCUUUGUUUAAUUCCAGGUCAAGUUAUCUGUCUGCAAACACGAUAUUCCUUACAUGAACAGUACACAUGAAACCAAUGCAUAAAAACAAACCACAUUCAUGGGUCUCGUAUUACUCUUGGGCUGGUGUCAUGUGAUCCGUCAGAACAUGAAAAUGAAUAGACGCUGAUCUUUAAUUCUCAGUCGUGGUCAUGAGAUACCCAUGAGAAUUGUUAUGUGUGUCAAUUUAGUUAAUGCCCAACUUACUUCUCAGGUGUCACAUGUUUAACAAAGGAAAACACUUUGUGAUACCAGCGAAUAGCAGUUUUUAACACAUUUUCCUAGAGGCCUGAAUCGAAUGGUGAAACACAACACUGGGUGGAUCUUUGGUACAUUUAGGUAGUCCUUUGACCCAUUUCAGAGAGCCAGCUUUAUUGCCUUAACUUGGAUAAACAUUUUUAAAAAGACAAGAACGAGUCUUUGUCAAAGGUCACUCUCAAGGGGCUAGGGCGCCAAGAGUAUAUCUACUGUGCAACUCUCGUCUUCCCCCUCACAAUUGAGGAAAGACCAGACAGAGACAACAUGAAGAUGCAGAUGCUGCUGGUGUUGGCUGUAGCAGUCUUGAUGAUUCCCAGUCUGUCUGAGGGACGGAUCCUCUCAAAAUGUGAGCUGAAGAGCUUAUUGGAGGAGGCGGCCUUCAAAUUCAACCUGACUGAGAAAGCCAGAGAGAAUUAUGUGACAAACAAGGACUUUGUGGCUAAAAUCGUCUGCCAUGUAGAGAAGGCCACAGGUUUCAACACCAGUUUUGUGACUCCUUGGAGGGAUGAUGAUGGCCCUGAUGACAGCCCUACCCACCCUGCUAAGGAUGAUAACCGCUCGACCCAUCCUACCCACCCUGAGCACCCUCCUAGGAGGGGUAAGAGACACGCUGGGGAUUCUCACGGGGAUUCAUCCAGCGCUGAAAGUCAUCAGUUCAGCUCAUCAAAAGAAGACUCCAGUGAAGAAGACUCCAGUGAAGAAGAGACCAUGUACCUCUACGGCUUGUUUCAGCUGAGCGAUCAUGUGAUCUGUGCCAACGGCUCCACUCCGUCUCUGAACCUUUGCCAGAUAAACUGCAGUGGUGAGUUCAAUAAAUGUGACCUAUCGAAACAAAAUAUGAAAAAUAGCACAACAAGAUCCUUAAUAGAGUAGUUGGAUGUUAGAUUUGAUCUUGAGUUUGGUUUUAGUUAAAUGGCUUGUACGAGAGUCAGUGGUGUAUCUCUGUUGUGCUUUUUUUUGUCUCAAGAUUUGAUUGACGACGACAUAAGUGAUGACUUGGACUGUGUGGAGACAAUCAAACAGACAGUGUAAGCGUUUGGUUUUGAGGUUGAUGUUUUUUGUACAUUUUCUUAUUGUGUUAAUAUACUGUCUGCAAGUGCAGCAAUUCUUACUAACUUUUGGAUUGUCCUUUUUUCGUUUAAACAGGGAAAGUGGGCCUGGUGAUCAUAAAAGGGCUCUAAUGAGAAUGUAAGUAUGCAAAUGCAAAAUGUAUGUUUUAAAUUUUAAACAGAAAUCUAUUUUAUUUCCAUCAUGUUGAAUUGAAAUUGGUUGGCAUUCAAUGUUUAAACGUGUGAAAAAUUAUAUUAGAAUGUCACUUUAGGAUGUCCUUUAGUGAUUUUUUUGCGAGUACCUCUAGGGGUGUAACUGAACAUGGAAAUGUAAAUGCUUUCUGAGGUAAUUAUUAAUAUUGUUUUAAUGAUCCUUAUAGGUUUAAGCUGCUCUUCCAGAAGGAAUGUGUCAUGACGGUUGCCUCUAGCUACUUUUCCGAGUGUUGAAUGAGAAGCCAUGUAAGAUGACAACCCCCCAAAAGUGUAUUUUGCACACUAAUCGUUCACUCUCUAAACAAUACAUUGAGUUACAUAGGGUGAAUUUACACAGGCAGCCCAAUUCGAAGCUUUUGCCCAAUUAUUAACCAAUUGCAAAAAAAGACCAAUGCCAAAAGAUCAUAAUUGAGCUUCCUGUGUAAAUGCAGCCAUGGUGUGUAACAAUUCGUUCUCAUCAGCCUCUUUUUCACAAAGUACACCAAAAUAGAAUGUAUGUAGAAAGAAUAAAGUUUAACAGUAUAUUUCUUUGGUUUGUUUAAUUAUUUUGUGUUGUUGUUGUUGAUGUGAACACCUGCACCUACUUUUAAAUGCAAUUGGGAUAAAUAUAUAGCAGGUUAAAGCAAGGCAUACCUUGGACUAAACACUGGGAUAAACUAAACAGGAAGAGGGUUUACUCCGCCCAAAAUCUGUUCACGAAAAUAAGACCAUGAUGUGAGGAAUUUUUGUAUGGAAGUCAAUGAGAGUGUAAAAUUUGAUCAACAGAAAAUGUAAUUACUAAUUUGCUACGUGAGUCUUACAGUGGAUAUCAUAAGUAUUCACCAACCUUUGAUUUUUUUUAGAUUGUGUUGCAUUACAAAGUGGGAUUGAAAUGGAUUUAAUUGUGAUUUUUUUUGUCAUUGAUCUAAAAAAAUAUUACUCCAUAAUGUCAAAGUGAAAAGAAAAUUCUACAGUUUACAA